UACGGAGGUCCCAAGCGUUGUUCGGAUUCACUGGGCGUAAAGGGUGCGUAGGCGGUUGGAUAAGUCUGAUGUGAAAUCUUCGAGCUCAACUCGGAAACUGCAUCGGAAACUAUCUAGCUCGAGGAUUGGAGGGGAGACUGGAAUUCUCGGUGUAGCAGUGAAAUGCGUAGAUAUCGAGAGGAACACCAGUGGCGAAGGCGAGUCUCUGGACAAUUCCUGACGCUGAGGCACGAAAGCUAGGGGAGCAAACAGG
rnacentral:rRNA from 1 species